UAAAACGUAGGAGGCGAGCGUUAUCCGGAUUUACUGGGCGUAAAGCGCGUGUAGGCGGCUUUCUAAGUCGGACGUGAAAGCUCCCGGCUCAACUGGGAGAGGUCGUUCGAAACUAGAAGGCUUGAGGGUGGUAGAGGAGAGUGGAAUUCCCGGUGUAGUGGUGAAAUGCGUAGAUAUCGGGAGGAACACCAGUGGCGAAGGCGGCUCUCUGGGCCACUCCUGACGCUAAGACGCGAAAGCUAGGGGAGAAAACGGGAUUAGAAACCCCGGUAUUCCUAGCCGUAAACGAUGUCAACUAGGUGUAGGGGGUAUCCAACCCCCCUGUGCUGCAGCAAACGCGGUAAGUUGACCGCCUGGGGACUACGGCCGCAAGGCUA
rnacentral:rRNA from 1 species